GCUCAGGUAGCCCAACUGGCAGAGGCGAUAGACUUAGGAUCUAUUUGUUGUGGGUUCGACUCCCACCUUGAGCA
rnacentral:tRNA from 1 species